ACGUCACAUGUAAAAGUACACAGGAGUGUGGCUAAUCACUUUUUAUUUGUAGAUUACCUGAGUGUCCUUGCACUUUUCAGGAGUUAAGGCAGAUGUGGAGGCACAACGGGUGAUACCAGACACACCCAAGCACAUUAUGUUCGGACAUUCAAUCAUGACAGGAUCCAGGUGGAUGCUGUCCAUUGAGGAAAGAGUUUGUUCCGAGGUUUCUGGAUAGAAUUAAGUCCAAAGAUGGGAAAAAGUGCACAUCCAGACAAGGAGCAAGCAAAAAGACAAGGAACUUGGUGCAGAGAAAAGCUGUGGCCAUUAACCCCCAUGUGAAAAGCUUCAUGCAGUCCCUGAUAGAGUUUGAAUGGGCGACUUCAAACUAAAGGCCAGUGUCUGUCUGCCACAGUUUAAUGCAUUUAUUUUUAGUGUUCAAUGAAAUUCAAAUAGAAUAUUUAAAACUAUGGGCCAGUGUUCCUUUUAGUUGAUGAUGGACUUUAAACUUCAAACUAUGGAACAGUGUUCUUUUUACCACAGUGAAAUGUUACCUUUUAGUCGAUGAUGGACUUUAAACUGAAAACUUCAAACUAUGGACCAGUGUUCUAUUUGCCAGAGUUAAAUAUGUUACAGCAGGGGUCUCCAAACUUGUUUAUACUUGUUGAUUUUAUUUUAUUUAACUUGUUUAUAUGUUUAUUAUUGUUUAAAAUCUUGUUUUAAAUAUGUUUUGUUUCAAUUAAAUGUUUAUUUAAAUAAAAUUUUGAUACAAACAUUACUUGGAUUGCCUUUUAAUUCAUUAUGUUUUAAUGUAGCAUUUUUACCAUAUUAAUAACUAUAGAUUUAAACCUUAAUAUCUAGCUUUCAUAUAUAAUAUUAUUGUAUUAACUGUAAUAAGUAACAAAUAGUAUUUAUGGGUCAAUAUAGACAUUACAGUAAAUUACUAUAAAAAUAGACUACUGUAAUAAAAUAUUGUAAAAUUACAGUAAAGUACUGUACUGUAAAAUAC